UUUUCACUAACCCUCUCAGACUCACUCUGUAUCUAUCUCUCACUCACUCACGAAACCCUACACUAUUUCUCUCCCGAUCUGAGACUAACCCUACCUCAUCGGCCGCCAUCUCUAUCGCGCGCCCUCUCUGUCUCUCUGUCUCUCUCUCAACUCGUCUCUAUCGCGCUCGCUCUCUCUCUCUCUCUCUCUCUCUCUCUCUCUCUCUCUCUUAGUCACAUCUUUAAGUCUCUUAGAGACGCGAGACUCAUUCUCUUUCUCCAAACCUAACCAAACAUCAAUCCAAUAUCAUUGGUUUUUGGAGCGAAUCCUUGUAAAUUUUGGAGGGCUCUAGUUCAUUCUAAGUUGUUGUGCUUAGUCUCUGUGGGUUUGGAUUAAUAGGCAAAAUUGAAGAUUGUUGCGUUGCAGCUUUCUGUGGUCCGAAUUGCCCCGAAUUGUGUCUUUGCACUGAGGAUGCAGGUUUGACACUUUGUUGAAUUGGAACAAUGAUGAUGGAGAAGCCAUGGGAGCUGCAAAACAUGUUUUGUUUGCAGCUCCCUUAACUGAUACAAGUGAAUAUAUUUGGUGCUUUACUUUUUUUGGUUUGUGUAUUAUUUUUUGUAAUGGUUUGUAAGAGAUUAUAUUUCCUUUCCUUGGUUGGUUGGUUGAAUUGAAUGUGUGUAUGUGAGAUUUAUUUAGUUUAGAAACUUAGAUUGGAAUGAUGGAUUUUUAUAGCUUGAAUUUACAUAAUUUCAGGUUUUGAAAGAGAA